GGGACUUAGACUCUCCUGACUUGGGUUGGUCAGACUCUUCUGAAAGAGAAAUAAAAUGGUGAGAGUGUGUGGCUUUUUCCACCGAUAGGUUCCUUGUGCUGGACUAUUUGUCAAGUUUUCAAAAACAGCAGUAAGGUUAUGUCAGACACCCUGUCCAGCAACGUUUAGAUGUAAUGUAUGAGAGGAUCCAGGCCUUACAUGUGAGAUGAAUUCACUGCUGUCGGAGCUGAAGAGGUCGAGGCUGCGUGUGCUGUACAGUAAACCCGGCUCUCUGGAGCUCUGCGCGCUCAGCGUGUCGAAAAUCUCACCGAGCAGGUCCAUCUCCUCUGGGUCGGCCAAGAGAGAGAGAUCAUCAUCUUCCUGACUGUGCCAGGCCGGACCUGGCUCAAUUCUGGCAAGCCGCUGCCGAGUGAGCCGACACUCAGCCGCAUUCGGCCUGAUUCCGAUGCUGAGAUGCUGGUGACCAGCAUCACCAGCAAGACCAGUAGACCAGCAUCACCAGCAAGACCAGGCUGGUAGACCAGCAUCACCUGCAAGAACAGUAGACCAGCAUCACCAGCUAGACCAUGCUGGUAGACCAGCAUCACCUGCAAGAACAGUAGACCAGCAUCACCAGCAAGACCAGUAGACCAGCAUCACCAGCUAGACCAUGCUGGGUGACCAGCAUCACCAGCUAGACCAGCAAGACCAGUAGACCAGCAUCACCAGCAAGACCAGGCUGGUUGACCAGCAUCACCAGCAAGACCAGGCUGGUAGACCAGCAUCACCAGCAAGACCAGUAGACCAGCAUCACCAGCUAGACCAUGCUGGGUGACCAGCAUCACCAGCAAGACCAGUAGACCAGCAUCACCAGCAAGACCAGGCUGGUUGACCAGCAUCACCAGCCAGACCAGGCUGGUUGACCAGCAUCACCAGCAAGACCAGUAGACCAGCAUCACCAGCAAGACCAGGCUGGUUGACCAGCAUCACCAGCCAGACCAGGCUGGUUGACCAGCAUCACCAGCAAGACCAGUAGACCAGCAUCACCAGCAAGACCAGGCUGGUUGACCAGCAUCACCAGCAAGACCAGGCUGGUUGACCAGCAUCACCAGCAAGACCAUGCUGGUAGACCAGCAUGGUCUUGCUGGUCCACCAGCUAAACCAGCACCAAACCAGCAUAUACCAGCAUAAACCAGCAUGGGAAUUACGCUGGUCUAUGCUGGUUUUUCCAGCAGGGUUGGUGGAUCAGUACAUAGUAUAGCCAGUUUUCAUGAUUUAAUUGAUUAAUACGAUUCAUACUGAGUUCGGUGUAAUACACUAUCAUGUGUUUUCUGUGUGAGUUAAACAAGUAAAGAGUGCUGCUGCAGAAAUCUACUUUUUUUCCCAUAUUUAAAACAAAAAUCUCAGCUACUAAGUUCAAUCAGCUGACAACCCUAUUGUUGACGUGUUUUUAUAUUACAGAGUCAGGCCUGGAUGAAAACCUGCUUAAAGAGAGAGUGCAAGCCUGGUGCUGAUGUACCCGAGAUUCCUGGAUUCUCAAUGAGCUGAGAAGGCUAAGGACAGAGGCAUGACCUCAAACUGAAAGUGAGAAAAAGUGAGCUGUGCUUUCCCUAUUCUCAGCCUCAGACGUCAUGCCCACGGACCGUUGGCUAAACAUCUGAUACAUAUGACACACAAAAGUGGAAACACUUCAAGAGUUUCAAUGUCGUCAUCGGACUGAUUGAAUUAUACAGGAUUUCCGGGAGACAUGCGUGUUGCAUUCUUUAACGUUCCACCUGGAAACAAAUAUGCCG